rnacentral:lncRNA from 1 species
GGCAGCGCCUGGUCCCUGGGGUGGGGGGUAUCGACUCCUCACCUCCGCCCUCCCUGCUUUGCCACUUGCCUCUGUCCCCGGGCGGUUCGGAAUCGGAGGCGAAGGUGUGCCUUAAGUGGAAGGGGGCACUUAGCGACGGCAGACGCCCGUACCUUGCCCCCUCCACACCUGGGAGCCGCCCCUGGCCUGGCACCCACAGGGCUCGUUUUGCGGGAGAACGUGAGGCUCCAAAUCCUAGUUUUGGGGAGGAGCGGCGCUCUCGGGCCCGUCCUCCCCAUGCCCCCGCUGCGACCCUGUCCUCGGUUAAUCCUGACUCCCCUCCUCCUCAGGGCCCCCCAAAGCUCAUCUUCUCCUUAGCCCUACAGCGCACCCCCCACAACCCGAUCCUGCACGCCCCCUCCCCGGGAACCCGCACUCCGUUCCGCUCGUCGCCACUGCAGCCACUAAAGGGUUAACGCCAGAACGGGCGGUGCCCGGGAGCGCGCUGGGAGCCGCUGGGAGGUGUAGUCCCUCAGGGAAGCGGUCGCGAUUCUUCGGGGUGGGGUCCCCGAGCUUGGGGGGUUCCAGGCUUUGGGGCAGGCUUCGGGGCAGUUACCUGGCUGGGAGGUGGCGGAAGAACCUGACUUCCCACUGCCUGGCGCCGGCGAGAUGCGGGGGCAGGUCUGAGGCCCCGGGUCGCCGCUGUCUCUGCGGUUGGGGGAAGUCACCCAGCUAGCGUGGGACAGGGUCGGCACCCCCAGCAGGAAACAGCAGCGACGAGCCAGAGCGGAGUCGCCUGCAGCUGCGCGCAGGACGUGCACAGGUGCGCGGUACGCACAGGCCCUAGGGACCCGGUGGGGAUCUUAAGCACCAACGAACAGUCAGACCUAACUCAUAAACAAACAUCAUCACGGCCUGCCCUGUCAGAAGCGCAGCCAAGCAACAACAACAACAAAAAAAGGCGAGGAGGUAGACCCACUUGAGAUGGUUCUGUUGCGGAGAGUCUCUGAAAUCAGAAAGCGCCAGUCCGCAAAAACGAGGAAACCCGACGUGUCCGGCGGAAGGAACCGCCAGUACAAAGGCCCUGAGGCGAGAAAGAGAUUGGUCACUGAAAGAACUCAAAGAAGUCCUGUGUGGCUGGAGUAUAGCUGCGGGUUAGUGCUGGCAGGUGAAGACAGAGAAGCAAACCCAGGUCAGGUCCGGUUGGGCCUCGGGAGGGCCUCCGUGUGGAGUCUGCACUUCAUUCUAAGUGUAUACCUAACCCAUCGCCACGAUUUCCCCUCCUUCACACUACCCUGCUACGUCUCCUUAUUAGGCGUAAUAAAAUUAUGUGGCUUUGUAAGAAAUUGGUUUUUAGA